CACGGGGGGAGCAAGCGUUGUUCGGAAUCACUGGGCGUAAAGGGUGCGUAGGCGGGUCUUUAAGUCAGGGGUGAAAUCCUGGAGCUCAACUCCAGAACUGCCUUUGAUACUGAAGAUCUUGAGUUCGGGAGAGGUGAGUGGAACUGCGAGUGUAGAGGUGAAAUUCGUAGAUAUUCGCAAGAACACCAGUGGCGAAGGCGGCUCACUGGCCCGAUACUGACGCUGAUGCACGAAAGCGUGGGGAGCAAACAGG
rnacentral:rRNA from 1 species